AGGCGAGGGCCGGCCCGGUCCCACUGAAAUCCACAGCGGUCCCGUGCCAGACCCGCAGUUAUGCAUUACGCCUGUUCCACAGACUCCGUCGGACCUUCGCCAGUUGGCUUUAUCUGAUGAUCUGGCUCCAGGAGAACAAGUCCCUCAUGACUCACGUCCACCUCAUACCUGAUGCGCACGGCAGCAGGUUGUUUUUCGAGCUGGUCCCACAGAUUCCAGCACACGAUUCCUUGCUUCUUCGCAGGGCUUCUGUCUACCGGGAAGCGCUGAAUAACACGCGGGUUAUACGAAGAUACUUGCUGAACUCAUGCCCCACGUCGCAGGCAACCAGGUGCCACCAACUCGCGGCGUGAUUCGGAGCUCCCAGUCUGCAGGCACCCUCUAUGGGCACUGCAGUGAAACACCGCUCGGGACCCGUCCAGAAGCAGCAGCGCUGGCAGGCCUUUGAUAUUUAGCAGGGGAAGUCCCAGAGGCUAUAGUGGUGCCUGUUCAUUGCCCAGAGAAACAAAACUGCAGUUUUCUACAGGAGAUGCACAGUGUAAAUCCUUCCAAAUACAAGUGCCCCAGAAUCCUUGGCUGCCUUGAAGUUGCAUAGCAAGCUCAUUCUCAUUUCAAUUUCAGACAGCCUAUCUUUGUCCAAACUG